rnacentral:rRNA from 1 species
UACGUAGGGGGCAAGCGUUGUCCGGAUUUAUUGGGCGUAAAGAGCGUGUAGGCGGCCUGUUAGGUCAGCUGUGAAAACUCGAGGCUCAACCUCGAGACGUCGGUUGAAACCAUCUGGCUAGAGUCCGGAAGAGGAGUGUGGAAUUCCCGGUGUAGCGGUGAAAUGCGCAGAUAUCGGGAAGAACACCCGUGGCGAAGGCGGCACUCUGGAACGGUACUGACGCUGAGAUGCGAAAGCGUGGGGAGCGAACAGG